rnacentral:rRNA from 1 species
AGGUUAAGUUAACAAGGGCGCAUGGUGAAUGCCUUGGCACUAGGAGCCGAUGAAGGACGGGACUAACACCGAUAUGCUUCGGGGAGCUGUACGUAAGCUAUGAUCCGGAGAUUUCCGAAUGGGGCAACCCAGCAGUUUUAAUCAACUGUUACCACUAGAUGAAUUCAUAGUCUAGUUGGAGGUAAACGCUGUGAACUGAAACAUCUCAUUAGCAGCAGGAAUAUAAAGAAAUUUCGAUUCCCUAAGUAGCGGCGAGCGAACGGGGAACAGCCCAAACCAAAGUGCUUGCACUUUGGGGUUGUAGGAAUGAACAUUUGAGUUACCAAAGAACUUGAUAGUCGAAGGAUUUGGGAAAAUCCGCCAUAGAUGGUGAUAGCCCAGUAGAUUAAAUCAAAUUCUCUCAGUUCAGGAUCCUGAGUACGGCGGAACACGUGAAAUUCCGUCGGAAUCUGGGAGGACCAUCUCCCAAGGCUAAAUACUACCUAGUGACCGAUAGUGAACCAGUACCGUGAGGGAAAGGUGAAAAGCACCCCGGGAGGGGAGUGAAAUAGUUCCUGAAACCAUGUGCCUACAAUAAGUCAGAGCGCGUUAAUGCGUGAUGGCGUGCCUUUUGUAGAAUGAACCGGCGAGUUAUGAUCCCGUGCAAGGUUAAGACUAAAAAGUCGGAGCCGUAGCGAAAGCGAGUCUGAAAUGGGCGUUUUGAGUACGAGGUUAUAGACCCGAAACCAGGUGACCUAUCCAUGUCCAGGUUGAAGGUGCGGUAAAACGCACUGGAGGACCGAACCCGUGUAAGUUGAAAAUUGCUGGGAUGAGGUGUGGAUAGCGGUGAAAUUCCAAACGAACUUGGAGAUAGCUGGUUCUCUCCGAAAUAGCUUUAGGGCUAGCCUCGGAAUUAGGAUCAUGGAGGUAGAGCACUAUUUGGACUAGGGGCCCGUCUUGGGUUACUGAAUUCAGAUAAACUCCGAAUGCCAUUGAUUCAUAUCCGGGAGUCAGACGAUGAGUGAUAAGAUCCACCGUCGAAAGGGGAACAGCCCAGACCAUCAGUUAAGGUCCCUAAAUGUAUGCUAAGUGGAAAAGGAUGUGGAGUUGCAUAGACAACUAGGAUGUUGGCUCAGAAGCAGCCACCAUUUAAAGAGUGCGUAAUAGCUCACUAGUCGAGUGAUCCUGCGCCGAAAAUGUACCGGGGCUAAGCAUACUACCGAAACCAUGGAUGCGACCAUUAGGUCGCGUGAUAGGAGAGCGUUCUAAGGGCGGUGAAGCAAGAUCGUGAGGACUUGUGGAGCGCUUAGAAGUGAGAAUGCCGGUAUGAGUAGCGAAAGAUAGGUGAGAAUCCUAUCCACCGAAUGACUAAGGUUUCCUGGGGAAGGCUCGUCCUCCCAGGGUUAGUCGGGACCUAAGUCGAGGCCGAGAGGCGUAGACGAUGGAUAACAGGUUGAGAUUCCUGUACUAGUUAAGUGCGUUUGAGCAAUGGAGGGACGCAGGAGGCUAAGAUGUGCAUUCUGUUGGAUUAGAAUGUCCAAGCAGUAAGUCUUGUGAAGAGUCAAAUGCUUUUCACUUUAAGGACAAGCUGUGAUGGGGAGCGAAAUUUAGUAGCGAAGCGUCUGAUGUCACACUGCCGAGAAAAGCUUCUAGUGAGUACUUAACUACCCGUACCGCAAACCGACACAGGUAGUCGAGGAGAGAAUCCUAAGGUGAGCGAGUGAACUCUCGUUAAGGAACUCGGCAAAAUGACCCCGUAACUUCGGGAGAAGGGGUGCUGAUCGCAAGAUCAGCCGCAGUGAAUAGGCCCAGGCGACUGUUUAUCAAAAACACAGGUCUCUGCAAAAUCGUAAGAUGACGUAUAGGGGCUGACGCCUGCCCGGUGCUGGAAGGUUAAAAGGAUGGGUUAGCUUCGGCGAAGCUCAGAAUUGAAGCCCCAGUAAACGGCGGCCGUAACUAUAACGGUCCUAAGGUAGCGAAAUUCCUUGUCGGGUAAGUUCCGACCCGCACGAAAGGCGUAACGAUCUGGGCACUGUCUCAACGAGAGACUCGGUGAAAUUAUAUUGUCCGUGAAGAUGCGGACUACCCGCGACAGGACGGAAAGACCCCAUGGAGCUUUACUGUAGCUUGAUAUUGAGUGUUUGUACAGCUUGUACAGGAUAGGUAGGAGCCAUAGAAACCGGAACGCUAGUUUCGGUGGAGGCGUUGGUGGGAUACUACCCUCGCUGUAUGACCACUCUAACCCGCACCACUAAUCGUGGUGGGAGACAGUGUCAGGUGGGCAGUUUGACUGGGGCGGUCGCCUCCUAAAAAGUAACGGAGGCGCCCAAAGGUUCCCUCAGAAUGGUUGGAAAUCAUUCGCAGAGUGUAAAGGCACAAGGGAGCUUGACUGCGAGACAGACAGGUCGAGCAGGGACGAAAGUCGGGCUUAGUGAUCCGGUGGUACCGUAUGGAAGGGCCAUCGCUCAACGGAUAAAAGCUACCCUGGGGAUAACAGGCUUAUCUCCCCCAAGAGUCCACAUCGACGGGGAGGUUUGGCACCUCGAUGUCGGCUCAUCGCAUCCUGGGGCUGUAGUCGGUCCCAAGGGUUGGGCUGUUCGCCCAUUAAAGCGGUACGCGAGCUGGGUUCAGAACGUCGUGAGACAGUUCGGUCCCUAUCCGUCGCGGGCGUAGGAAAUUUGAGAGGACCUGUCCUUAGUACGAGAGGACCGGGAUGGACAUACCUCUGGUGUACCAGUUGUGCCGCCAGGCGCAUCGCUGGGUAGCUACGUAUGGAUGUGAUAAACGCUGAAAGCAUCUAAGUGUGAAACACACCUCGAGAUGAGAUUUCCCAUUCCUUUAUGGAAGUAAGACCCCUGAAAGAUGAUCAGGUAGAUAGGUUAGAAGUGGCAGUGCGGUGACGCAUGAAGCGGACUAAUACUAAUCGGUCGAAGACUUAACCAAG